CGGCGGACGGGUGAGUAACGCGUGGGUAACCUGCCUCAUGCAGGGGGAUAACAGUUAGAAAUGACUGCUAAUACCGCAUAAGACCACGGUACCGCAUGGUACAGUGGUAAAAACUCCGGUGGUAUGAGAUGGACCCGCGUCUGAUUAGGUAGUUGGUGGGGUAACGGCCUACCAAGCCGACGAUCAGUAGCCGACCUGAGAGGGUGACCGGCCACAUUGGGACUGAGACACGGCCCAG
rnacentral:rRNA from 1 species